GAAAAAAAAAAAAAAAGAACGAGAGAAAAAAAAGGGAGAGAGAAAAAGGUAUUAGGGAUAUACUGAAAAAUGCGCAGCAGUGAAAGAUAUAAUGAAGAAUAAUAUAGUAAUUCCAACUGAUCAUUCUUAGAGCAAGUGGUAAAGGACUUGGUGGUUGGUACCGAGACCUAAGUUCGAAUCCUAGUUAAUUUGCAUUUUUCAACUAAGUUUAUUUUUAAAUGAAAUAAAGGUACCUAUCUCUCAAAAAAAAAAAAAAUAGUAAUUCCAUAUUUAAGUAAUAUUAAGAUUUUAUU
rnacentral:lncRNA from 1 species